GCAUACGUAGGAAGGAAACAUAUAAUAUAAUAUGUAGAGUGAUGAAAGCACAGAAGAUUCAUUUCAUUCAACCAAACUUGAUAUUAUCUUUGUAUGGAUGAGUGGGUCCAAAGACCCUUCGCCACCAUGGCUCUUCAAACCGCGUCUUCCACAGUAAAUAAAGUCUCUGUUAUUCUCCUAGGUUUAUAAACAACUCCACAACCUUGUCACCCUUUCAUUGGCUC
rnacentral:lncRNA from 1 species